UACGGGGGGGGGCAAGCGUUGUUCGGAAUUACUGGGCGUAAAGGGCUCGUAGGUGGCCAACUAAGUCAGACGUGAAAUCCCUCGGCUUAACCGGGGAACUGCGUCUGAUACUGGAUGGCUUGAGUUUGGGAGAGGGACGCGGAAUUCCAGGUGUAGCGGUGAAAUGCGUAGAUAUCUGGAGGAACACCGGUGGCGAAGGCGGGUCUCUGGGCAGUAACUGACGCUGAGGAGCGAAAGCGUGGGGAGCGAACAGG
rnacentral:rRNA from 1 species